UAAAGCCUAUCGUUCAAGGUCUGUUUAGCCUGCCUAUCAUGGCAGAUAUUCAAGGUCUGCUUAGCCAAGGUCUGUUCAGCCUGCCUGGCGAAUGUUCAAGGUCUGCUUGGCCUGGACAGGCUGGGGAGGCCACAAAGGACGGCAGCAAUCCUCCUGUGAGACAGGCUCCUGUGCCUCCCCACAGCUGGUCGUCAAGAUGUGUAGCCUCUGAUGUACAAAGUUGGGCUUUCUUAGCUGACAUUCUGUAGCCCAACUUUGUAACUCGUGCAGCAGUCCCUCAGAGGGAUUUAUUUAAUAACUUAUUUUAGUUUCAGAGACUAGGAGGAGGUAUGGUAAGAGUAAAUAAAUAAAUAGUAUAAGAGUCUGGUCCCGGGACACCUCUGAUGGAAGGGCAGGAGGUCGGCAUGUUGUGUCUCAUCAGACAAGAUUAGAGAAUUGUUGAAUCCUUGGGGCAACCUGGUCCAGGUAAGUGGCCUGCUGUAACCUCCCUCUGGCCCUGUCCAUGUGACAGCACAGAUGGGUUGUCUCACCUCUGCCCAUGGGAGGCUGAAGAGCGCAGCUGUCAGGUGCAAGGCAGAGCACACCUAUUCCUCUGGAAGAACCAGACUCGUGAGAAUCAGAGGUCCCAGGUUUCUUCGCAGGCAGGAGAAGUGUUCUGUAGGGUGACUGGCAGGCACCAGGAUGCUGGUCUCUCUAAAUUGCAGUGUGGACUGCAAUGUCUCUUUGUGUUUCCAGGCUCACUGAGUAUUGUUUGAUCUGGAUGCGGGUGGCUGAACUGGUUAGUUGAAUGGUUAUAGGAACUUGGUGUUGGGCCAGUUCUAGUUGGUUUCUGCCUAUACCCCUGGAAAUCUUUGUUGUGAGACGUUGACAACAACUGUAUGCUUUAAUUGGAGGUAAGACUUUCAGCUAGACAUUUUUCUUCUGACAGGGGGCAGGACACCAAACUUUUGUGAGGUAUGUGUAAGUUGAACUGCAUCUCAUUGUCAGAGAAGGUGAUGGUGGCUUUCAGUUUAUGUAAAAGGUCUUGUCUCUCAAUUGGUUCUCUCUGUUGUAAAACACCUUUUGAGCUACCUCCAGCAACUGGAUUCUAUUUAUACCUUUAAAAUUUUUACUUAUUAAUAAGCUUUUUAGCAGCUGACUUUACCCCUUCUUAAAGAGACCUAGUGAAAAUUAUUUAAAAUCUCUGUCUUAAUUAGGGUUUCUAUUGCUAUGAAGAAACACCACGAUCAUGGCAACUCUUUAAAGGAAAACAUUUAAUUGGGGCUGGCUUAUACUUUCAGAGGUCAUCAUAGUGGAGUGCAGGAAGACAUGGUGCUGGAGAAGGAGCUGAGAGUUCUAGAUCUUGAUCCACAGGCAGCAGAAAGUGAACAUCUGAGACCUCAAAGCCUAGCCACACACCCCAACCAUGUCAACUAUUCCAUCAAGGCCGCACCUCCUAAAAUACCACUCUCUAUGGGCCUGUGGGAGCCAGUUUUAUUCAAGCCACCACAGUUUCCUUGAUCAGUGUUGGACAGAAGGGAAAGAUUUGUUCUGUUGGGGGCUGCAUUGUCCAGUAGUGAGUCUCCUGCCCAGCAUGGGAGUGGUUUCUCUCUCUUUUUUUCAGAGAAUGGAGAGACUUGGUUGAAAAGGAGACAUAAAUCAUGUAAAAAAGGAGCAGAGCUUCCUCUUUGCUCCUUCCUUUGUCCUGCUAGAAGUGAAGCAGGCUGAAUGUAUAUCAGGGAACAAUCCCCCUUCCCCACCCCCACCCCAUGCAUUCUGCUUAAAUGGCAGGGGGUCCUAGAUGAGAGUCUUGACCUCUCCCCACCCCCACCCAGGGAGCAUGAGCAGGAGGGGUGAGGGCUCUUUUGGUUUCUCUGGGUAACCUGGCAGAGCCAAAAGGAUUCCAGUCCCCAACAAAAGGCACAGUUCUUAAGCUGGGGGUGGGGUGCGUGUCUCACAGCCACUGGUCAAUACUGAGAAAUAAAGCUGGCAGAAACACAUUGAAAGGCAGACAGAGACACACACACACAGUAAGAGACACAAUAAAGACAAUGGGGUGGCCUCCGCACAUUCCACACUCUUGAACAGACAGGAGGAAUCCAGUGACAUCUCACAGGGAUCCUGGACACAAACACAUCUGACCUUUCCCAUAUGUUCAAACAGAAGGCAGACUUACCCCCUUAAGUAACAGACCAGGCCACUUCCUAAUUUGUUUGCUGUGACCUCCUCAGCCUAUACAGGCUAAGCAGACCUUGAACAUUCGCCACAACAGGCAAGCUAAACAGACUUUGAAAGUUUGCUACUUUAUCGGCCUAAACAGAGACAUCUAUCUGCCUUGGCUGUAGCUGCGAAUUUUGACUUACUGGAAAUAGGGAGCUACCAAGAAAUAAAAACCUAUCAGAUUGGCUGCUGUGCUGUUGUUAGCCUGAGUUACUGUUUUGGGGAUGGGUUUUGUGGUUUUUCCCUUUAUAUACGCUGUACUAAAUGUCAAACUUUGAGCUUUGGCCAGAACACAAUCUUGGCUCUGUCUUCUCCCCUGUCCUUUCAUUUCCAGCCCUCUUUUUAGGUGAACGCCGCUAGCUACCUACAGGUGGCGCCUGAAUAGGGAACGUGGAAAAAAAAAAAAAAAACCAAACCGGAAGACUGAGAAAUGCUGCUUUGGUUCGAGCGCUCCACGGAACCAAAGUAAAAGUAAAAGCCCUGAGGUGACUUCCCAGACAGCAGACUCUGACCUCCAAGACAUAGAGGAAGUAGAGAUCACCAGAGACACCUGGCUUGACUCUGAGUGGGAACCUGAUAAGACUCCAGCCUCUCUCAACUCCUGCAGUCUUGGAGACAGGCUGGCCUCAGAUGGAAGGGCACUGAGGGGCCUCUUGAAGAGCCUUCCCGUCGUGUCUAAGUGUGGAGACAGCAUUGGCCAGGAAUGUAGUGUAGAGCAGCCAGCCGGCUUGCCUCCAGGAGCCAUGCCCUGCUCUCAGAAAAGAGACACUUGGCACACUUGGUACUCUGGCCCCAGGGGGUCCCAGGGACAGAGGGGUAGCGCCAAGAAGACUGCUGAACUGGGCAGUUGUUUGGAUCAACACCAGCAGGCCCACAGGGCACCAAGGCACACCGCUGUGAGGCCUGUGGUAAGAGCUUCAGGUACAACUCUCUUCUGCUAAAGCACCAGCGCAUCCACACCGGGGAGAAGCCCUACGCCUGCCAUGAGUGCGGCAAGCACUUCCGGAGCUGGUGGGGCUUCACGCAGCACCAGCGCAUCCACACUGGCCUACGAAUGUGGCCAGGGUGGCCACGCCUUCAGCUAGAACUCCAACCUGGUGCACCACCAGAGGCUGCACACCAGGGGGAAAGCCUUAUGUCUGCAGCCAGUGCGGCAAGGCCUUCACCUGGAGCUCUGUCCUCAUAGGACACCAGCGCAUCCACACCGUCAGGAAGCCCUACAGGUGCGAAGACUGUGGCAAGGCCUUCCGAGGACAGUUGCACUUCUUCCGGCACUUACGGACCCACACCGGGGAGAAGCCCUUUGCCUGCGGCACCUGUGGCAAAGCUUUUGGCCAGAGCUAUCAGCUCAUCCAGCACCAGAGGCUGCACUACCACAAGGAGCACUCACCCCAGUAAAGUUUGGGUAAACCUGCUCCUCCUGAGUAAGACUGGGAUGCUUUAGAGGUGCACAGCAGGGCGUGUCCAUGUCCAGGUGCGAUGGCUAAUGAAACUCCAUUUUAUGGUAGGUAUUCAACUUGGAACCCACUAGCCAUUUCUCUCUGACUCCAGUUCCCAGAAGAGCCCAGUAACCCUGACUCAGUGACUCCUACCCAAAAAUGGAUAGCCAUUACCAUCUACCUGUUAUGACAUGACUGCCUGCUUUGUUGGCUUCUGUAACCUGCUUAUGCAGACAUUCAAGGCCUGUUUCAAGGUCGCCCUGACUCCCUGACCUUGGCAGAGCAGCACUGCUUAAGCAGCACAGCUCCUGGCCUGCUUACGCAGACACUCAAUGUGGGUUUCACCAUUACAAAUCAUUCCCUCACCCCUCGCACAGCAGUCUCUAGUUUGGCUCAGAGACUGGAGU